UACCAGCACCCCGAGUGGUCGGGGCGUUUAUUGGGCCUAAAGCAUCCGUAGCCGGUUCUGCAAGUCUUCCGUUAAAUCCACCUGCUUAACAGAUGGGCCGCGGAAGAUACUAUAGAGCUAGGAGGCGGGAGAGGCAAGCGGUACUCGAUGGGUAGGGGUAAAAUCCGUUGAUCCACUGAAGACCACCAGUGGCGAAGGCGGCUUGCCAGAACGCGCUCGACGGUGAGGGAUGAAAGCUGGGGGAGCAAACCGG
rnacentral:rRNA from 1 species